rnacentral:rRNA from 1 species
UACGUAGGGUGCGAGCGUUGUCCGGAAUUAUUGGGCGUAAAGGGCUCGUAGGCGGUCUGUUGCGUCGGGAGUGAAAACUCAGGGCUUAACCCUGAGCCUGCUUCCGAUACGGGCAGACUAGAGGUAUGCAGGGGAGAACGGAAUUCCUGGUGUAGCGGUGAAAUGCGCAGAUAUCAGGAGGAACACCGGUGGCGAAGGCGGUUCUCUGGGCCGUAACUGACGCUGAGGAGCGAAAGCGUGGGGAGCGAACAGGA